rnacentral:rRNA from 1 species
UACAGAGGGUGCGAGCGUUAAUCGGAAUUACUGGGCGUAAAGCGUGCGUAGGUGGUUUUAUAAGUUAGAUGUGAAAUUCCCGGGCUUAACCUGGGGACUGCGUCUAAUACUGUUUAGCUAGAGUAUUGUAGAGGAAAGCGGAAUUUCCGGUGUAGCAGUGAAAUGCGUAGAUAUCGGAAGGAACAUCAGUGGCGAAGGCGGCUUUCUGGACAAAUACUGACACUGAGGCACGAAAGCAUGGGGAGCAAAC